UCGGGCGACCCCUGGGAAAAGGCCCUUCCACCCCCAGGAGGAGAACCGCCGGGCCAGGAGCCAAGCAGCCGAAGGGAUCCCGGGAAGGGACGGAGCUCAGCCCGAGGGGAUCCCGGGAGGCCAUUGGGAGCAGAGGGAGCCGAGGAGGGACGGGGGAUCCACUGGAAAGCCAGGGAUCCCAAGGGGGGGAGAAGCGGAUCCCAGGAGGGGAUCCCCCCACCCUUUCCUGCAGGGGGGGGAAAGGACCCCUCCUCCUCCUCCUCCCUUUGGGGCUGAGCAGGGGGGAGACAGGCAGCCACUGACACGAGGGAUCCUGGGGGGCUCCCCGAGUUUGCCCUUUUUCUUGCAGGCAUUUCAAGGAAGCUCCGGCAGCACCAAGGAUCCCUGAAAUCCUUGCCUGCCUCUCCUUGUUUUAAACAAAAGGGCCAAAUAAAUGGAGUAAAGCCAGUCCUUCUUUAUGGUUCAUUUCAUGGACUAAACUGACAGGCCGUCCGUGUCUCAGACUCUGGGCAAACUUCCCCUCUGUGUGGAGUGGGUGGAAAUGAGGAGAUCUCGGGAAUCCCAGGGUGGAACCUUCCCCAGCAUUCACGGCUACUGAAAGGAAAUACAAGACAAAGGCCUCUUAAUCAAAGCCUGAAAUGGGAAGAACGGAAGUUUUGCCUUUGUGUCCAUUGGAGACUUCAGACCACGUUGCAAAUUUAGCCUUCAGCUGGUUAACCUGCUCCCAUUUAACAGGCUUGUAAAUCUAACAAGUAAAGAGAGAAAUGCAUUCAGCCUCAAUUCCAGUGUAAUCUUUUAUUUCUGGAAUAGUUAAAUGUAACGUGGAUUCUACACUGGGCUUUGUUUUAAAAAGGCACCAAGGAGCCCCCAGAUCCGAAUCCAGCAUCUCCAGCCCCAGGUGGGGUCUCGGUCCGGGUGGCGCCAAGCUCUGCUUCUUCCCCUCUUCCUCCCUUCUCCAGAGCCACUGCAGUGCCAGCGGAGAUCCGGGCGAGUACAACCUGCGUUCUCGCACAGUGUUGUGUGGCACAUGUGGGCAGCCGGCAGAGAAGUCAUCCGGGGGCACGAAUGUGGGCACCAGCACCAUGUCCACCGGCUCCUCCUCCUCCAGCUUGACCAUCACGCGCAGCUACCGCAGUGGAGGCACCAACCUCGGGGAGAGCCUCCUGCCCCGCUCCUACAUCCUGGCAGCUCCACCCCACGCCAGCAGGGUCCUUCAAACUGCAGCAUCAUGUAAUCGUCCGAUGUUCCCGACAUGCACUCAAAUCUGCUUUAUGGAGCUCUCUGUCCUUUGCCUGCUCAGAAAAAGAGGAAACCAUUUUUAAAAGAAGUUAUUUUCUAUGCAAGAAUUUAUACUUUAUUACAUAUAUCUAUAUCUAUAUCUAUAUAUCUCUAUAUAUAAAUAUGCUAAAGAUGCUUCAGGUUUUUUAAGGGGGUGUGGGGGGGUCUUUUUUCUAUCUCAAAGGUUUAACAGGAAGUUUAAAACCUGCCAAAGAAGUGAAUCUAUUACUGCCAAAAAGGAAAAAAGUCCUAGAAUUGUCAUAUGUUUCUUCUAGUAAGGGGGAGCCUGCAAAAGGACAGGAUCCGUCUGUGUGUCUGCUUGAAUACCAAAGUUUUCUUUGAAA